ensembl:lncRNA
GCUGCUGCUAUUCACUUCAGUCAUGUCCGACUCUGUGCGACCCGAUAGACGGCAGCCCACCAGGCUCCCCUGUCCCUGGGAUUCUCCAGGCAAGACCACUGGAGUGGGUUGCCAUUUCCUUCUCCAAUGCAUGAAAGUGAAAACUGAAAAAAAGUGAAGUCGCUCAGUCGUGUCCGACCCUUAGCAUGGACUGCAGCCUACCAGGCUCCUCCGUCCAUGGGAUUCUCCAGGCAGGAGUACUGGAGUGGGGUGCCAUUGCCUUCUCCAGGAGGUCUCUAGUACCUUCUAAACGUGUGCCGUACCCGCAUGAGAGGAAGUACGACACGAGGAAGCGCAUGCUUGUUGUUUGGCUGCCAUUCUUUUCUGAGAGAAUUUGGUUAUAACUUAGAAGAGCAAGACAACGUGAGAGAAAAAUAACUUAAAAAACAACAACAACAACACUUUUUUUUCCUCAGAAGCCACCACCUGUAGGUUCUCUGAAGGGAGGCAACAGGUUGGUGCUAGAUGACGACCUUUGGGGGAAUAGAAGAGAGGCGUCAGCCAGACCGUGCCUGUGUGACGGGGCUCCUGGAUCUGAAGGCCGGGCUCCAGGGGUUGUGGUGCCCGCGCCAGCUCCUGGCACAGUGAACACGUUCCGCCUGACGGGAAGGCAGACGCGGGGAAGGAGGUGAGGUGACGGUCGCUGCGACAGCCGGGGCUGUAACCAGCGAGGAGACAGACACACAUUGGCCCGUGUGCUUCCCUCAGUCCACCCCUGUACCCUGUCCUCGGUGGUUCUUACAGAAUCCUGUGUGGGGUUUGACAGAGUGUUGGGGAUACCAACGCAAACAAGACAAGGUGCCCGACCCCAAAACGCCGACGAGAUGAGCCACACAGGAGGAGCGCCUCUGCGUCUAUGGAGCCAGGAGAGACUGCGUUGAGAGGACAGCUGUCGGGAGAGCUCUAAAGACAGCCCACCACACCUUUGCUCUGUAGGAAUGCAACUUUAUCUAAUGCUUUUGGAGGGUGGCUCCUGACCAAUCACC